UGAAAUAUAUGUGGCUGAGCCACAAAAUACGGCAGAUUAUUAAAUUGCUCAUACUUCUUCCAUAUAACAAAUCCCAUGCCAGAUGCAAAUGUAGAACUAAUAGAUAGCAAAUAUGUUUAUGAUAUAAUGCUCAUCAUGGCAGAUACAGGACAUACCCAACAUUUUUCAGGUUGUAAAUAUCAUAUCACGAGUUUUACUUAUUGUAAAUUAUAUCAUACAAGCAUACAUUUAACUUAUUUUAUUCUACCAGAUGGUUUGAUUUCAUGUUUUAUAGCUUAAUUGAUCACAUGUUGACCCUACAGUAGGCCUACGUUCGAUCCAAACGAUACUUACGGUCCUAUGAAAAAUUUAGAAUUUCGGACCCACACGCUCGUGUGGCCCACACGGCCUAAACGACUAGCCCGUGUGACCCAUAUAGUUUGACACAUGGGCACACACACGCCCGUGUGGUUUACACUGCCCAAAUAGCCCAAAUCAUGUGUCUCACAUAGUCCAACACACGGCCUGUCACACAGCCAUGUGUUACACACGGUCUGUGUGGCGUCGACAGUGCAAUUUUUCAACUUUCAUUUUUUUUUGAAUUUCUCGUUACACACCUCAUUCAAUUUUGACGAGUAAUCAAUAGCGAGAUUUCCAUAACCUAAAAACAUCAUUUAACACGGUUAAUCAAUGACAAUUCCUCAAUUUUACCAAAUAACCCCCAUAAUCACAAUGCAAAUAACGACAUUACUAAAUUGGAAAUUGAACACUAAAGCAUUCAAAAACUUACCCAAUCGACCGCAACAACUCCUAAUACUAAUUCGCAGGAGGGAAAUUCCAAUUUUCACGAUCGAUACCUAACAACAAAAAUUCUUUGCAAGAGUAAACCCAUGUAACAAACCAAAUAAUCAACUCACCCUACAAGAACCCUUAAUAAAAACCAUCAACUAAAUUCAAUUACACACACCUUCAUAACGAACAAGAAAGAAAACAAGAUUAAAAGAAACAUUACUUAUGCCAAAAUGGAAUAGCAAACGGAUCAACACAAAGACAAAGAACAAAAGAAUAAAGAAGACUUGGAGCAGCAAGAUGAAGAUAGGAAGAAUGGAAAAGUGAGAGAAGAGCUUCAGAGAACGUGAAAACAAUCGGCAAAAAAUC
rnacentral:lncRNA from 1 species